CGGAACACGUACAGAACCUUCCUUUAAGCGGGGGAUAGCCCAUAGAAAUGUGGAUUAAUACCCCAUAGUAAUAUUAGUUGGCAUCAAUUGAUAUUUAAAGAUUUAUCACUUAAAGAUGGCUGUGCGGCUGAUUAGGUAGUUGGUGCGGGUAACGGCCCACCAAGCCAGCGAUCAGUAACUGGUGUGAGAGCACGACCAGUCACACGGGCACUGAGACACGGGCCCG
rnacentral:rRNA from 1 species